UACAUGGGGUGCAAACGUUGCUCGGAAUCAUUGGGCGUAAAGCGCGCGUAGGCGGUUGCUUAAGUCGGAUGUGAAAGCCCUCGGCUUAACUGAGGAAGUGCAUCCGAAACUGAGCAGCUAGAGUACGAAAGAGGGUCGCGGAAUUCCCGGUGUAGAGGUGAAAUUCGUAGAUAUCGGGAGGAACACCGGUGGCGAAGGCGGCGACCUGGGUCGAGACUGACGCUGAGGCGCGAAAGCGUGGGAGCAAACAGG
rnacentral:rRNA from 1 species